rnacentral:tRNA from 1 species
GAUAGCGUGGCCGAGCGGUCUAAGGCGCUGGAUUUAGGCUCCAGUCUCUUCGGAGGCGUGGGUUUGAAUCCCACCGCUGUCA